AGUGAACGCUGGCGGUAGGCCUAACACAUGCAAGUCGAACGGCAGCACAGUAAGAGCUUGCUCUUACGGGUGGCGAGUGGCGGACGGGUGAGGAAUACAUCGGAACCUACUUUUUCGUGGGGGAUAACGUAGGGAAACUUACGCUAAUACCGCAUACGACCUACGGUUGAGAGCAGGGGAUCUUCGGACCUUGCGCGAUUGAAUGAGCCGAUGUCGGAUUAGCUAGUUGGGGGGGUAAAGGCCCACCAAGGCGACGAUCGGUAGCUGGACUGAGAGGAUGGUCGGCCACACUGGAACUGAGACACGGUCCAGACUCCUACGGGAGGCAGCAGUGGGGAAUAUUGGACAAUGGGCGCAAGCCUGAUCCAGCCAUACCGCGUGGGUGAAGAAGGCCUUCGGGUUGUAAAGCCCUUUUGUUGGGAAAGAAAAGCAGCAGGUUAAUACCCCGCUGUUCUGACGGUACCCAAAGAAUAAGCACCGGCUAACUUCGUG
rnacentral:rRNA from 1 species